ensembl:lncRNA LINC02190 long intergenic non-protein coding RNA 2190
AAAGAGAACUAGAUGUUAUCUAGUGUUAUCCUGCUGAUCCCAAUUUCCUAUAGUUCUGGCACCAGAAAAUCCUGAAUGAUAGGUUUUUCUGAAGCUGCUGACAUCGGGUCAGCCCUCAACACCAUCACCUUUGGCCAUGUUCAGGAAGUACUCAAAGAUCAUGGCUCAAAAGUCUGCAGAGCAGAGACAAGAGAUUGACAAAGAGGUGUUGAUGAGGGCAAUAAAAGCAAAGGUGGCUUUAUCACGGUGAGCUACUUCUCACAGGAGUCGGGAUCCACAUCUGCAGACUACACAAAAACAAACAACACAGAUUAAAAGCACAAUCACCAUUGAAA